AGCGAACGCUGGCGGCAGGCUUAACACAUGCAAGUCGAGCGGGCACUUCGGUGUCAGCGGCAGACGGGUGAGUAACACGUGGGAACGUACCCUUCGGUUCGGAAUAACGCUGGGAAACUAGCGCUAAUACCGGAUACGCCCUUUUGGGGAAAGGUUUACUGCCGAAGGAUCGGCCCGCGUCUGAUUAGCUAGUUGGUGGGGUAAUGGCCUACCAAGGCGACGAUCAGUAGCUGGUCUGAGAGGAUGAUCAGCCACACUGGGACUGAGACACGGCCCAGACUCCUACGGGAGGCAGCAGUGGGGAAUAUUGGACAAUGGGCGCAAGCCUGAUCGAGCCAUGCCGCGUGAGUGAUGAAGGCCUUAGGGUUGUAAAGCUCUUUUGUCCGGGACGAUAAUGACGGUACCGGAAGAAUAAGCCCCGGCUAACUUCGUG
rnacentral:rRNA from 1 species